CCACAUGCAUCGAACUUCCCCUGUAUAUCUUACAACCUCAAACCUAUAAUACUGUUGGUAAGUAGUAACUUCCAAAUUCAGAGAAACCCUGGAUUAAAAGGGGCAAUCCUGAGCCAAAUCCGUGUUUUAAGAAAACAAGCGGUUCUUGAAUUAGAAUCCAAAGGAAAAGGAUAGGUGCAGAGACUCAAUAGAAACUCUUCUAACGAAUCAAGUUAAUUACAUUGUGUUGAUAGUGGAACUCCUUCUAAAUUAGAGAAAGAAGGG
rfam:Oryza sativa Japonica Group DNA, chromosome 9, cultivar: Nipponbare, complete sequence.